AUAUCAAUAAGCGGAGGAAAAGAAACCAACAGGGAUUGCCUCAGUAACGGCGAGUGAAGCGGCAACAGCUCAAAUUUGAAAUCUGGCUCUUUUAGAGUCCGAGUUGUAAUUUGUAGAAGAUGCUUUCGGCGUCGUAGCUCCGGUCUAAGUUCCUUGGAACAGGACGUCAUAGAGGGUGAGAAUCCCGUACGUGACUCGGGUGCUUUCGCUCGUGUAAAGCUCUUUCGACGAGUCGAGUUGUUUGGGAAUGCAGCUCUAAAAUGGGAUGGUAAAUUUCAUCUAAAGCUAAAUACUUGGCCAGAGACCGAUAGCGCACAAGUAGAGUGAUCGAAAGAUGAAAAGCACUUUGGAAAGAGAGUUCAAAACAGUAC
rnacentral:rRNA from 1 species